UACGUAGGGUGCGAGCGUUGUCCGGAAUUAUUGGGCGUAAAGAGCUCGUAGGCGGUGUGUCACGUCGUUCGUGAAAACCUGCAGCUUAACUGUGGGCGUGCGGUCGAUACGGGCAUCACUGGAGUUCGGCAGGGGAGACUGGAAUUCCUGGUGUAGCGGUGAAAUGCGUAGAUAUCGGAAGGAACAUCAGUGGCGAAAGCGACUUCCUGGACCAAUACUGACGCUCAUGUGCGAAAGCGUGGGGAGCAAACAGG
rnacentral:rRNA from 1 species